UACACAGUUACAACUUUGAUACCACAGAUGUUGUUUGAUACAUGCGGAGUCUUUUACCACUGGUGGUGUAAGCAGUUGGUGCUACAAUACCUUUUGUGUGAU